AAAUUAUAAACAUAUAAAUUAAAAUAUCUGUUGACCAAAAUAAUGUUUUUGUAUUUUAAUAUAGCAUAUUUUUAAUAAUAGGGUCUUUAUUUUUUUGUGUGUUUUGUAAUUGUUUUACUGUUCUCAAACUCUGCUGAGACAUGCUGUCACAAAAGGUUAAAUUGUGUUCAGUGAACUAUAUUUUUCUGAGCAACAACAGUGAAAAUAUAUAUUAUAGAUAUGUAAAAUAAAAACAAUACACUGUACAUAAACAAUAUUGAUAUAAAAUAUAUCUACCCUAAGAAAUCCUCAACUAUGGCAGGUUUCUAAAAUGUUGCAUGCGCGCGCAGUCACGUGCUCUUCCCAAACUUCUCUAGCAUUAUAUCAUGACAUGCACGUAAAAGCGCGUGACGUUCGCGCACAAUCGCUGCACUUGUUGCUAGUCAAAAACAAUUCGACCAAACUGUGCGUUCACUAUAUUUAUAUUUAUUUAACUGUUCUAAAUAUCUGAAAAGAGAAACAAGCGCUCUGUGCUUGGUGUUGGUGCAGUACCUUGAUUAUCUCUUCGCAAAAAUACGGGCUUAUUUAAGCGACGCCAGAUCCAAGAGUUUGAUCACUAGAUCCCCUUGCUCUGGUCCGGCCUCCUGCUGGAUCUCCAGGGCUGCUUUCUUCGCCCGUUCUCGGUCCCUACAUGCCAUGACUAUCACUCGGCCCUGACGCCGCAGCAGCUCUGCGGCCGUGGCUUUUCCGAUACCACUGCUUUCGCCGCAGCAUAUCGACGCCUUCUUCAUCCAUAUGUUUAUAAUAGGGAAAAGCUUCACACUGCUGAUCGUUCUGUGGCCCCGAACAACGUCGAGUUCAUGAGCAGGGCACAUGAGCAGCGAUUGUACCAAGCUCCUGGGCACCCUCAAUGUGAAACAUCUGAUCAUCAAAGAAGAUGUGAGGCCUGAUCUUCUGUAGGAGAGGCCCCUUAGGAGCCCCCGCCAAAAAGAGGGCCUCGUCUACCUCCAACCCCCAGCUCCGUAGGGUCUUCAGAACGCGGGCCCCAGCACUGGCAGCACUUCGAGCUGUGACGAGGGCACAUGAGCAGCGAUUGUACCAAGCUCCUGGGCACCCUCAAUGUGAAACAUCUGAUCAUCAAAGAAGAUGUGAGGCCUGAUCUUCUGUAGGAGAGGCCCCUUAGGAGCCCCCGCCAAAAAGAGGGCCUCGUCUACCUCCAACCCCCAGCUCCGUAGGGUCUUCAGAACGCGGGCCCCAGCACUGGCAGCACUUCGAGCUGUGACGAGGUAGGUGCGAAUAGGGCAGUUGAUUCGUUGGUUUUUUACAUAGAAUUUGCGCUGGAGUUUACCCAGUGCUUCCAGGAAACAUUUCAG